GGCAGUGCCGGCGGGGACCGGCCGCGCCCCCUCCCUCCGCGCCCCGAGGCUGAGGAAUAGAGAAAUGUCCCGAAGGCCAUCCAGGGAGGAGUGCCACCUGGCUGCACAGCAGUGACUCCGCCAGGGAUGAGCAAGGAAUGUGGAACUUGAUGGUUCCUUUUGCAACACUCAAGUCCCAGCAUCGCAUCCCAGGAAGCUUCAUUCGCUAGUAAAACACCAAAUCCUUCCAUUUACUUAUAAAGCUAUCACUUGUUGCUUAGUUGCCUGUGGAGGCACUGAUUAAUAGAAAAUGUAAUUAUAGAAAUGAAACUGUUUCCCAAUACAUAUGAUAUAACAGAGAUGAUAAAUCGGAGAGAAUGUGGAAAAACAAGAUGACUUUAAUUUGUCUAAACAAAGCUGUAUGCAUAACUUUGCUGAACAUACACUUGGAUAAGAAAAGUCCAUUUUAAACUUUGUUUAAUCUACAAAACACUAGGUAAACACACAUACGCUUUUAAGUUUAAUCUUGAUUUCACAAUGGUGUUACUGUGGUUUAUCUAUCUUUUGUGCAAAAGCUUUGUUUUCAGCGGAGGUCCUGAGAUCUAAUCUGUGAGACUGUAUCUCUGGAGGGCAAGAGUUUCGGCAUGAAAAAAAGAUGUUGCAGGUGGCCGCAGACAAUGUCAGCAGCGCUGGAUACAUUCUUGGAAUUAUUCCCCGUGCUAACCUUGCAGAAGAUCUGCCAGUGGAGUCUAGCAGUUCGUGCAAAGUAUCUUGGUGGUGUCAUCGUAAAAAUGGGCCAAUCCCCUGAUUUUUAGUCAUUGCAACACAGCCAUUCAUCUCUUUACAUUUUAUAUUAUGUUUACAUGAUCUUUUAAAAAGUUGCAAAAAAAAUCCUGUUUAAAACUUUACUUCUGGAAGCAGUUUUCACUCAUUUCAAGAAAGGAUUUCCAGAACUUUGGGGUGACAAUUCAGCAAAAUUCUUGCAUAAUCUACAGGAGAAUUGUUUACGUCAGCAUCAUAGCUCCAGUUUCAAGAAAAAUACUGGGCCAAAGUAUAAUCUGGCUUCAGGUAAUUUAAAUAAUUGCAGGCUUGUGGGGCCUUGCCAGGUCUUGUAAUGCAGACAUUUAUAUCAGUGAUGAUGUAGAAAGGAUAAGACAGAGCUGCCUUGAUGGAAAGCUUCAUAUUAGCUUUAGUCUUUCUGCAAAGCUCCAUUAACAGAUUACCAGUGACAUAAAAAUGCCUAUAGGUGUUACUUUGUACGUCUCCAUAAAGUUCACAUACCAUUAACUGAAAACUUGAACACAUCUUACGUGAAAAAAAUUCUUUCAGUAUCUUGCUUAACAUAUUUGUCAACGGAUAAUGAGUUACUUGGGAGUAAGUAUUUUAUACAUCCAGUUGUUUGUAAUGUUGAAUAAGAGUCUGAAGAAAGUUUUAAAUAACAUUUUUCAGUGGAAUGCUUAACUCUCUUUACUGUUUUCUGUCCUUUCUUGAAAUCCUAGUUGUUACUAGCUUUUCUGAUCAGAGGCAGUUCUGUCUAGCGUCCAUCAGUGUUAUUCUUGAAUUCAGAAAUUUGAUAAAAAGCCUGGUGUUAAGAACUCCAUCUCCCAAAGAGUUUGUACUAAGCUCUUAAAUGUGUAUGUUGUGUAUUGCUUCCCUGCCUCUUACGAGGACCAGUAGUUCAGAGUGUAAAACAGACAAGGUAGCUGCUUUUCUUUCUUGCUAGAAAGAAAUAAGCUAGAAUAACUUCACUACCAUAUUUAACUCUUUGCUGUGGUUGUCUAAAUAAAGUGUAUUUCUUUUUA